rnacentral:misc_RNA from 1 species
GAUGAAGAACGUAGCGAAAUGCGAUAAGUAAUGUGAAUUGCAGAAUUCAGUGAAUCAUCGAAUCUUUGAACGCACAUUGCGCCCGCCAGUAUUCUGGCGGGCAUGCCUGUUCGAGCGUCAUUUCAACCAUCAAGCCCCCGGCUUGUGUUGGGGACCUGCGGCUGCCGCAGGCCCUGAAAACCAGUGGUGGGCUCGCUGUCACACCGAGCGUAGUAGAUUUUCAUCUCGCUCAGGGCGUGCUGCGGGUUCCGGCCGUAAAAAGCCUUAUUUACCCAAGGUUGACCUCGGAUCAGGUAGGAAGACCCGCUGAACUUAAGCAUAUCAAUAAGCGGAGGA